GAUGAACGCUGGCGGCGUGCCUAAUACAUGCAAGUCGAGCGAACGGACGAGAAGCUUGCUCCUCUGAUGUUAGCGGCGGACGGGUGAGUAACACGUGGAUAACCUACCUAUAAGACUGGGAUAACUUCGGGAAACCGGAGCUAAUACCGGAUGAUAUUUUGAACCGCAUGGUUCAAUAGUGAAAGACGGUCUUGCUGUCACUUAUAGAUGGAUCCGCGCUGCAUUAGCUAGUUGGUAAGGUAACGGCUUACCAAGGCAACGAUGCAUAGCCGACCUGAGAGGGGGGUUGGGCCAACCGGAACUGGAGACCGGGCCAAGAUCCUUAGGGAGGCAGCAGUAGGGAAUCUUCCGCAAUGGGCGGAAGCCUGAAGGGGCAACGGCGCGUGAGUGGAGAAGGUCUUCGGAUCGUAAAACUCUGUUAUUAGGGAAGAACAUAUGUGUAAGUAACUGUGCACAGCUUGACGGUACCUAAUCAGAAAGCCACGGCUAACUACGGG
rnacentral:rRNA from 1 species